rnacentral:rRNA from 1 species
ACACAUGCAGUCGAGCGGAUGACGGGAGCUUGCUCNUUNGAUUCAGCGGCGGACGGGUGAGUAAUGCCUAGGAAUCUGCCUGGUAGUGGGGGACAACGUUUCGAAAGGAACGCUAAUACCGCAUACGUCCUACGGNGAAAGCAGGGGACCUUCGGGCCUUGCGCUAUCAGAUGAGCCUAGGUCGGAUUAGCUAGUUGGUGGGGUAAUGGCUCACCAAGGCGACGAUCCGUAACUGGUCUGAGAGGAUGAUCAGUCACACUGGAACUGAGACACGGUCCAGACUCCUACGGGAGGCAGCAGUGGGGAAUAUUGGACAAUGGGCGAA